AGUGAACGCUGGCGGUAGGCCUAACACAUGCAAGUCGAACGGCAGCACAGUAAGAGCUUGCUCUUACGGGUGGCGAGUGGCGGACGGGUGAGGAAUACAUCGGAAUCUACUUUUUCGUGGGGGAUAACGUAGGGAAACUUACGCUAAUACCGCAUACUACCUACGGGUGAAAGCAGGGGAUCUUCGGACCUUGCGCGAUUGAAUGAGCCGAUGUCGGAUUAGCUAGUUGGCGGGGUAAAGGCCCACCAAGGCAACGAUACGUAGCUGGUCUGAGAGGAUGAUCGGCCACACUGGAACUGAGACACGGUCCAGACUCCUACGGGAGGCAGCAGUGGGGAAUAUUGGACAAUGGGCGAAAGCCUGAUCCAGCCAUACCGCGUGGGUGAAGAAGGCCUUCGGGUUGUAAAGCCCUUUUGUUGGGAAAGAAAAGCAGCAGGUUAAUACCCCGAUGUUCUGACGGUACCCAAAGAAUAAGCACCGGCUAACUUCGUG
rnacentral:rRNA from 1 species